rnacentral:lncRNA from 1 species
UUCCAGUGGAGCUGUACAUUUGGAACCAUAGUGUGGCCUUCUUGGAGGACUUCUCUUUGGAAAGGUGUGAUGGAUGUUUCUGCUGCAGCUGUAGCAUGAGAUUAGGACCAGCUUCUAUAUUAAUUUCUUGGACUGGAUUUUUCUGCAUUAAUCAGGUAGCACAGAGUGUAUUCAUUAGGCUUGAGUGAGGUCCAAAUAGUGAUUCUGAAUUCUCGGGGGAGAUUAUGUUUCCCUAUUCAGAAUCCAAUGUGAGACAGACAACAAUCUUUACCCAAUAAACUCUCCGUGGCUCAGGAAAAUUUAAAAAAACCACACAGCCCUGUGACUUGAGCACUGGACCCCAUGACAAAAGAAGUGGACAUUGGAAUCCAAGGAUGGACCCCAUGACUGGGACUUUGGAGUGUCUCAUUCGAGAAAUGGGGCAGGAUAGAAUCUAUAAAUGAAGUCAGGACGUCAGACAGUAGAGGCCUCGUGGCAGGUGAAAGGGAAGGGGAGGUUCUGGGGUAAAUUUUGUGUAUUCUGGGCACUCGGAUCAACAUGCCACUGAAAUCAUCUUGACACUUAGUUUGAGCCCUUCUCUGGACCAGGGGAGGUCCCCUUAAUGGCACAGAACCUGGCCAGUCUCAUUGGCCACAUUUUGGAUGAUGCAACUUGUCUUUAGUACCAUCCUGUUUUGCUAUCCCACUUUCUACAGCCUCUCGGACAAGUGUCUCAUCCUCAAGCACCUGUGAAGGAAUGGAUGAUGAGGUCAAUAAGAAAAUUAAUAAAACUACCCGGAAGGUGGCCUUAGGGAAGUUGAGGCCCCGUGGGACGUUGCUUCUCAGUUUCAGCUUAUUUCUGUGAAGUGGAAAUGCGCAACCUGGACUGGGAUUUUGGAUUUUUAAAAGAAAACAUAAAAUUUUGGCAACUCAUUCAAUUAUUAAAAUGUGCUGUGCUAACCACAAACACAGCUGUGGUCCACAUAUGGCUUGCAGGCUGCCGGAUUGCAAUCUCUACUUUGAACGGCCUUCCAGAACCUUCCAGGAGCCUGUGUCCCCUCUUUCCGAGCGGUUCCCACCUUCCAGGCCUACCUGUCAAACAGAAUGUCUUCACUUUCAGAAUCAUCUGUGUUCUUAAUUCUUCACUAAAUACCCCGUUCUUUGAGUGAGCGUGUUUGAACAAA